rnacentral:rRNA from 1 species
UGCAGUCGAGCGGUAGAGAGGUGCUUGCACCUCUUGAGAGCGGCGGACGGGUGAGUAAAGCCUAGGAAUCUGCCUGGUAGUGGGGAUAACGCUCGGAAACGGACGCUAAUACCGCAUACGUCCUACGGGAGAAAGCAGGGGACCUUCGGGCCUUGCGCUAUCAGAUGAGCCUAGGUCGGAUUAGCUAGUUGGUGAGGUAAUGGCUCACCAAGGCGACGAUCCGUAACUGGUCUGAGAGGAUGAUCAGUCACACUGGAACUGAGACACGGUCCAGACUCCUACGGGAGGCAGCAGUGGGGAAUAUUGGACAAUGGGCGAAAGCCUGAUCCAGCCAUGCCGCGUGUGUGAAGAAGGUCUUCGGAUUGUAAAGCACUUUAAGUUGGGAGGAAGGGCAUUAACCUAAUACGUUAGUGUUUUGACGUUACCGACAGAAUAAGCACCGGCUAACUCUGUGCCAGCAGCCGCGGUAAUACAGAGGGUGCAAGCGUUAAUCGGAAUUACUGGGCGUAAAGCGCGCGUAGGUGGUUCGUUAAGUUGGAUGUGAAAUCCCCGGGCUCAACCUGGGAACUGCAUUCAAAACUGUCGAGCUAGAGUAUGGUAGAGGGUGGUGGAAUUUCCUGUGUAGCGGUGAAAUGCGUAGAUAUAGGAAGGAACACCAGUGGCGAA